AGAAGACACAGAAAUCCUCCUCAUCAAAAACAUGACUUUGAUCUGCGUCCUCAUCUGGACUCUCCUCUGCUGCUGCUUCACAGAGUCCAGAGGUCAGGUCACUGUGACUCAGCCUGCAGCAGUGAGAGCUGAUCUGGGAGGAUCUGUUACCAUCAACUGUAGAACCAGUCAGAAUGUUUAUUAUAGCAGUAGCACCCCUUACCAUUGUUUAGCUUGGUUUCAGCAGAAAGAUGGAAAAUCUCCUAAGCGUCUCAUUUAUUAUGCUAGCUUUAGAGACUCCUGGACUCCAAGUCGUUUUACAGGCAGUGGAUCACACACUGACUUCACUCUGACUAUCAGUGGAGUUCAGGCUGAAGAUUCUGCAGUUUACUACUGUCAGAGUUACCAUUACAUCAACAGUCAGCAUCUGUUCACACAGUAA